rnacentral:rRNA from 1 species
GACAUAGGUGGCGAGCGUUAUUCGGAAUCACUAGGCGUAAAGCGAGUGUAGGUGGAUGCUUAAGUCUGUCGUGAAAUCUCCCGGCUCAACUGGGAGGGGUCGAUGGAUACUGGGCGUCUUGAGUGGGAGAGGGGGUAUCGGAAUUCCCGGUGUAGCGGUGAAAUGCGUAGAUAUCGGGAGGAACGCCGAUGGCGAAAGCGGAUACCUGGCUCUUAACUGACACUAAGACUCGAAAGCUAGGGGAGUAAACAGG